rnacentral:lncRNA from 1 species
AUUUCUGCUGUGGGCUGUACUCAGAGCUGGUUUAUUUUCCUGUUACUGUAUAAUUAUGGAAAAGAAGCACAAAACAAUGAGGUCAUUUUUAGUGGGGAACAAACUCAGAAAUUACUAAUACACCUGCGGCAUAUGAUGCCAUUCAUCUAGCAAGAAACGAGAAGCAGGCAAGGCAGGCGUGAAUGAAAACGCUGCCUGCUUCUGUGGGGAACUCACUGGCUCUGGCUGAGAACUGCACAUGACAGGCCUGGUGUGCCCUGCCUCCCCUCAGCUCAGCUCUGAGAUGGAAGUAGGAGCACCUUAAUUAACUGCCGAAGAUCAGGGCUGCUUAUCAAUUCCUGCCAAGCAGAAAGCAUCCUGCUCCUUGAGUCUGCAGCUC